ensembl:lncRNA LINC01122 long intergenic non-protein coding RNA 1122
GUUAUAUUUCAGGCUUUCAAAGUAAACGACGAACUCAGCACUUUGGCAGAGUCCAAAAUCCGCCAGCGAACUUGGGUGCUAGAGUUCGGCGGGAAGAAAAGCGCCCGGGCUGCGCCGACCGCCGGCCCCGAGCCGCCGCGGGCUCCGAGGAGUCGGCCGAGCUGCUCCCGCGCCCUGGCCGGACGUUUGAAACUAUUGCUUUGCUGAAAACAUCUGACUGCCAGGCUAGGAUGUGACACUUAAGGGACUUACCAAUUUGGGAUUCUUCCAGGAGCUGAAAACUGAUUGCAAAUAUGAAACAGAUUUCACUACAGGACUUGAACCCUACAUUAAAAAACAACAAGCUCCCCAAAAUAAUUGAAAAAGAUCUUCACCAAAGAGUAGCUGCAAUGUGAAUGGCAGGAUAUGAAGCAAGUAAGAGUGCAGCCCCCUGGUGGAUAAAGAUUUACUCUACAUCUCUGAUUCAGCUGCCCUGUGGAGACAGACAUUAAAGAAGAAUUAAGAAUGAAGACAAGAAUAUUGAUCUCCCUCACCAAUCUCCUCUAACCGAUACCUCUUAAUCACAGAACAAAUUGGAGUCCCGAUUGUUGUGAGGCACCUGAAUAUUUUGCAAGACAAUGAGCCUCUAGAAUCUUGGUAUCCAAGGAACUAAUUUCGUGCAGCAAGAGAAAAAAAAAAGAUGGUGAAAAGAUUAUCUUAAGCUUGGAAUUAAGUGAUGAAAGGGACCUUCGAAAUUAUCAACUCUAAAUACUUCUUUACAGGAAAAUUGAAAGCAGUUAAGAACCUGCCCCCUACCGUGGAGUUCUUGGUGCCGUGAGUUGGAGUUCUUGGUGCCUGGGUGCGUCCCCAAGGCCACUGGUCUUCAGAUCUUUCUUACUUGAGAAGAACGCCUCCGCCUCCUGGCUCUCCCACCAGUGGUAUUGCCACCACCACACACCAGCAUAAAGCACAGAUUGCUGCCCAGCUCCUUGGAGAGGGGCCAGUGCAUUUGUCAGGAAUUGAAAAGUUUUGGAGCCAGUUCGAGGACUUUCUCCUGCACAAAGUGUUGGCUGGAAGCAUGAAGCAAUAACACAUGGUUUGCCAAAGAAUCUGCAUUGAAUAAUACUGGUGGUGACCACAAGAACAUGCCUCUCUGACUGCAAGGAACAAGAGUGACCCAGGGUUUCAGCUGCUGCCUUGGAAAUUCAUCACAGUGCAAGUCUAUGCUUCCCACGGGCUGCUCCCAGCCUGUGAAUAAGCCUGGCAUCUUUGUUGAGGCAGGCCUAUUUCUGGAGAUGCAGGAUCCUCCGAUGGGCGAAUUUGGCUCUAGGACUGCUUGAUGGCCUUGACAGACUUUCCUUAGAAAUGCAUGGCAAUUUAGGGUUCCUCCACCCUUCCCUCUUUCUCUCCUUCACCUAGGGUCGGACUUGCAUCAUGGCCUGAAAGCUCCACCAGCCUCUCCUGCCCUCCUCCUCAUUUUCUUUCACAGGCAUAUCCUCUAAUAAAUUUCUUGCACAUUGAAUCUCAUCUUGGCAUCUACUUAUUGGAGGAUCUGAAAAUUCACAUUUUUAACACAAUAAUAAAAUUCACAUUUUUUCAUCAUCCACUAUAUGCCAAGUAAUGUGUUACUGUGUAGUCUCAUUAAAUCCUCUCAAAUCCAAGAGAUAAGAAUUACAUUUAUUUUACAAGAAGAAAAGCAGUCACUCUGAGAGGUAAAAUAAUGUAUAUGGCAGUAGAUUGCAGAGUUAGCAUUUGAAGAAUGUUCGGUUGUACUCCAAAGCCCACCACAAAACUCCACCACUAAACCACAGCACCUUUGGAGCAAUUGGAAUGACGAUUCUGUUCAAAUCAUAUUAAUACCAAUCACUGUAUUUGACUUUUUCGUUUAGAUGUGGCUGUGAUUGAAAAAUCAUGGUCUUUGUAUAUAGUCACCUGUUCUAUCUGCCUUUGUUUUGGGGGACUGCCACCUGAAAUUCCUGACUUUUACCCUGGGAGGGGCUUGUGCAGAGGAUCUGAGUUACUCAUCUGAACGGACUGCCUAAAGACACCUCAGUUUGUGUUGUCUGUGCAUUCACUCAGCCUCCAUAGCUAAACUAAGAUGCUGGGAAUGAGAGACUGUUCAAGGAGUAGAAGCCUUGCUUCUAGCUUCUAUAUUCCUCCUACCACCUAUGACUUUUAGCGUUGUCAGGGAAGUCAUGAGGUUAGAGCUGAUUUUUUUUUUAAGAAAAUGAGAAACAUAAAUGUUCUCUUUUCAAGGUUUCUGUUUGAUAGUGUUUGCUAGACAAAGUAGAAUUUUCACAGUACAAGUCCUUAGCUCAAGAGCUCCACUCAGUCAGCAGUUAUUUCAUCUGCCUUUUAUCCAGCCUUUCUCGUUUAAAAAAAGGAAAAAGAGAAAUUUAUCCACUCAAAGUGAGCUUUUUGCUAAACUUGUGUCUUUCCCUUGUUUGUCAUGUUAAUUACAUCCCAAACAACCCUAUUGCAGAGAAUUCUGCAAUCAAACCCCAAAGUCCCAUCAGAUGUACAGUGGCUUUUAAAGUGGACUGAUUUUUUAUGUAAUAAUAAAUUUAGUGUUAUGCUUACCUCUAAAUAAAUGCAGAUUCUGCUUCUU